GUGGAACAUUAAGUGGACUUGUCUGCUUUUCCAAACUUUGGCGCCACUAGCAAGGUGCAGAGGCUUUGUGGUAAAGGAAGAGAAAGAAGGCAGAAAGUUGGGGAAAAAUAUGAUGGGAAUGUGUAGAAAGAAGGUCGGAAGGCAGUACAGAAGACAGUACAGAGUUGGGGGGGGGGGGAUCAUAUGUUCCCAAAGCUUAUUGGUGCAACUGGAAUCAAUCUGCACACUUCAACCUCUUGUCAAGACUGUGAUGGAGUCGGAGGUAUUUGCCCCGGGUAGGUGCACAAGACGCAUGGUUGCAGAUGUGGAAACAGAACAGAACAAAACCACCCACGUCUCUAAUGUUUCAAAUGAAUGAUAUACAUUUGUUUUUAUUACUUAUUUAUUUAUUUUUGAGACAGGGUCUCGCUCUGUCGCCUAGGCUGGAGUGCAGUGGCACAAGCUCGGCUGACUGCAACCUCCGCCUCCCGGAUUCAAGCGAUUCUCCUGCCUCAGCCUCCUGAGUAGCUGGGAUUACAGGCGUGCGCCACUACCACCCGGCUAAUUUUUAUAUUUUUUAGUAGAGACAGGGUUUGCCAUGUUGGCCAGGCUGGUCUCAAAUUCGUGACCUCAAACGAUCCACCCGCCUCAG
rnacentral:lncRNA from 1 species